rnacentral:rRNA from 1 species
GUGUCAGCAGCCGCGGUAAUACAGAGGUCCCGAGCGUUGUUCGGAUUCACUGGGCGUAAAGGGUGCGUAGGCGGUCUCGAAAGUCUGAUGUGAAAGCCCCGGGCCCAACCCGGGAAUGGCAUCGGAAACUGCGGGGCUAGAGGGUUGGAGGGGGGACUGGAAUUCUCGGUGUAGCAGUGAAAUGCGUAGAGAUCGAGAGGAACACCAGUGGCGAAGGCGAGUCCCUGGACAACCCCUGACGCUGAGGCACGAAAGCUAGGGGAGCAAACAGGAUUAGAUACCCGCGUAGUCC